rnacentral:rRNA from 1 species
AUACCCAGUCGAGCGGCGAACGGGUGAGUAACGCGUGGAUGACCUGCCUUGGGGUGGGGGAUAACUCGGGGAAACUCGAGCUAAUACCGCAUACGAUCGAGAGAUCAAAGGGGCGCAAGUCCCGCCAUGAGAGGGGUCCGCGUACGAUUAGCUAGUUGGUAGGGUAAUGGCCUACCAAGGCGACGAUCGUUAGCCGGCCUGAGAGGGUGAUCGGCCACACUGGAACUGAGACACGGUCCAGACUCCUACGGGAGGCAGCAGUGGGGAAUUUUGCGCAAUGGGCGAAAGCCUGACGCAGCAACGCCGCGUGGAGGAUGAAGGUCUUUGGAUCGUAAACUCCUGUCAGCAGGGAAAAAGGCUCAUGGCCACACCAUGAGAUUGAUUGUA